rfam:Asian citrus Psyllid, Diaphorina citri - Florida Strain, whole genome shotgun sequence.
GCCAGGGGCGAUAGACCGUUGAAUACAUUGGUUUACUCAAGUUAAGUAACGUUACGCGUAGUUGCUAUCCAGAUGGGUGACCAUCUGGGCAGUCACGUACUGCUGGCU